CUGCCAAACACUUCCCAAGAGGUAUAGACAAGUUUUUAGUGAAAGGACUUAGGAGAGUUUGUGAUGAAAUAAGGAUGAAAAUGGAGCUUUGGUUGAGAUUCAAUGGAGGAAGAGGGGAGGGGGUGUAAAACGUUUUUCUAAGGAGAAGAAGGGCUGCUGAUUUCUUUUGUUUUUGGCCAUAUUUAUCUCUUUUUAUUUAUUAAUUAAUAGGUUGUUUAAUUGUGAUUGGUUGGAAGUAAGUGAGUGACAUCAUAAUAUGUCAUAAUUUGCUUAAUUUUUUAUUUUUCUUUUCUUUUCUUUUCUA
rnacentral:misc_RNA from 1 species